AAUUGAUUCAGAGGAGAAAGAAAUGGAGAACAAAUGGAGUGUGGGGAUGAUGGUGUUCGUUUUGGUGAUGAUGGUCGUUGCCAUUGAAGGAGAAGCAGCAUAUCUUUCAUGUGAAACAAAAUGUAAAACCACCUGCAGAGAUUCAUUGUACCCUAGAAAAUGCAAAGCCAGGUGUUUGAAAAGUUGUAGACAUUAUCAUCCUCCUACUCAACUUCACACUAGCUCCCAGACCAAGACUGGAGGGAUGAAGAAAUAAUCAAGAGAGGCUAGAGAUCAUUUCUGAAGUUGUCAUGAUGGAAAUUUUAAACUUUUCUUCUCUAUAUAAUAACAAGUUCUUGUGAUCAUGUGAAAGAAAAAUGGAAUGAAGAAAUAUUUUAUAAUUAUCA